GACGAACGCUGGCGGCGUGCUUAACACAUGCAAGUCGAACGGAAAGGCCCCUUUGGGGGUACUCUAGUGGCGAACGGGUGAGUAACACGUGAGUAACCUGCCCUUGACUUCGGGAUAACUUCAGGAAACUGGGGCUAAUACCGGAUAGGAAUCCUUGCUUCAUGGUGGUGGUUGGAAAGUUCCGGCGGUUUUUGAUGGACUCGCUGCUUAACAGCUUGUUGGUGUGGUAGUGGAUUACCAAGGCUUUGACGGGUAGCCGGACUGAGGGGGCGACCGGCCACAUUGGGUCUGAGAUACGGCCGCGACUCCUAAGGGAGGCAGAAGUGGGGAAGCUUGACCAAUGGGCGGCGGCCUGAUGCAGAAGGGCCGCGUGCGGGAUGACGGCCUUAGGGUUGUAAACCGCUUUCAGCAGGGGCGAAGCUUGUGGUGACGGUACCUGAAGAAGAAGCACCGGCUAACUACGUG
rnacentral:rRNA from 1 species